rnacentral:lncRNA from 1 species
GAGAAGAAACCCGACAAACCUAAAGAAGCCGAGAAGCCGAAAGAAGCUGAGAAGAAGCCGGAAAAACCCAAAGAAGCUGAGAAGAAGCCGGAAAAACCCAAAGAUCCUGAGAAGAAGCCGGAAAAACCCAAAGAUCCUGCUCCUGAGAAGAAGCCGGAAAAACCCAAAGAACCUGCUCCUGGGAAGAGACCGCCAAAGCCCAAAGACGGUGGUGAGACGAAACCGGAUAUACCUAGAGAGGUGGCGUCGCAGCAGAAUGUUGCGGCACCUUCUCCUUUACCGCCGAUGACGUAUGCAGUUGGGUAUACUUGCUCCGAGGGUUAUUAUAAUGGUUAUGGUGGAGGACCUAGCUAUUAUGGUGGACCACCCCAACAACCGUUCCCAUAUUACGAGACUUACGGUAGGCCUGUUUAUGACAGCUGGGGUGGCGGCGGCGGUGGCUACUACAGGUACGGCGGCCGUACCGGUGAAUGUUUUAGUGAAGAAAACCCUCAAGGUUGCUCGAUCAUGUAAAAAAACCGCGGGAAUUCGUUAUACUAUAAUGGUAAUAAUAAAUUCUCUUGUCUACUGGUGUAUGAAUCUGGGGGAGUCAUUUUGUGGAUUUUUAUUUAUUUCUAGUUUUAUUGAGUUUAUAAAAGUCGGUAAAGAUCAUUAACAAGGUUGGUGGCGUUGGUGGUGGCGGCGACAACGGCGGCGGUAGUGGUGGUGUGCUCCAGGCUUGCAAAAAGUUUGUUUACCAUAGUUUUAAAUUUUAAUAAAUAAAAAUGAUGUAUCUUUUUAUCUGUCAGAGUCUUUUGUUUUUAAUUAUAUGAAGGAAUUCAUUUGACAACAAAAUAAUCAUGGAAGGAACCUUCUCAAAUGUAAACUUAGAUUAUAAUAAUGUAGUAUGCUUAUUAAUUUUACAAUCACCAAGUCUAAAUGAAGUAUUUUUUAUUAUUUUAAUUUUCUAUUUUUGUCUUUUAAUGAGAAUUAAUAAUUUAAUUCUAUUGUUAAUUAUUGUCAUUAUAGGAAAAUGUAGAUUGGAGUGCCUAGAGUUUUAUUUAAGGGUUAAAAGAGGGAUUAUGAACCAAGAUCACCUUUGUUUUUACCCUUGUAAAGUUCAUGACUGCCUUCUUAACGAUUUCACCUCUAAAAUUUGAAAUGCAAAGAGUGUUAUAUUACACCUAACACUUAUCGAUAUUUUAAGUUAGCAUUUUAAUUUAUCAAGUAUUACUCAAUUAGAACUAACUUCAUUUUUCAAAAAUACAAGAGAGCAAGUUUUGAUAAUUAAAACACGACAAUGAACUUUUGAAUUUUUGUAAAGUAGAGGGAAAAUUUCGUAAUUAUACCUUAUCUUUAAGAAGCUUUGCAAAAUGUAUGAUAAUAAUAUAUAUAGAGACAUAGUGGUUCAAAAACAAAAAGCCAAAUCAAUUGGAUAAUAAUGGUACCAAAGCAUCCACGAGACAAUGUCACUAACGGUGGGCGCCUCCCUAUGGUUAUCCGGUCCCCAAACAGGCGGGCGAUGGCGUCAAAAUUACCAAUCUAGCGCUUAUCCUUAUAUAGAGUAGGCAACCUAGCUUAACCUAGACACUCUUAGUUUCCUCCCAUGGUUUCAAAUCUUAAUACACUCCAAACUUUAAUUAUUGAGAUAGAAAUCGAGUUUGAUUUGAAUUUUGAUUAAGUUGAUUUAAUUUUUUUUAAUUGAAUAAUAAUAAAUUUUGAUUUUUAUAUAUAUUGUUAUAAUGCAAUUGAGAAUUGUUUAGUACGAUAAUUUACACUAUAAGAAUGCGAAGAGCUACUGAAAUGGUUGCGAUUUAUAUUGUGAAAGUGUGAAAAGUCAUUGUUCUUGGUGAUUGGAGGAUGUCGAGUUAGUAUAUGUAAAGGAGAGAAUUUUGCUUAAUUUAAGAAUAUUUUUCAAAAGUGCUUUUAAGGAAAAAAAAAUACUUAUGAGAAGAAGUUAAAAUUUACAAUUUAAAAAAAAAAAAGAUUUUUUGGGUCAAUUUUUUAUUUGGAAUAAGCAUUUUUUUUUCUCAAAAAAUUAAGAAUACUUUUGUCCCAAAUUUUUUUUUUAAAAGCAAUACAAAAAUGACCUUAAAUUGGCACAGUAUAUUUAAUCAAUUUUGGUUUGAGCAGGUUCAGCAAUUUUUUUUUAUUAUAUGUUUGAUUUUGUUGGUGUAAAAUAAAUCUUAAUUAUUUGUGUUUCGGUUCUUUUAAAAUGAUAUAAAAGUUUUAUUAUUUAAAAAUAUUUAAUUUAGUGAAAUUUAAUUGAGUAUUGAUAUAAAUAAAUGAUAUUAAAAUAUAUACCAAAUAUUUACAAAUCAAACUGAAAGUUUUGAAAAUAUUUUAUUUCAUAUUUAGAAUUUAAUAAAAUAUUCACCACUGAAGUACCCAAGUUUAAUAUUUAUUUAAAGGGAGUAAUUAAUAUUGAAUUUAUUUAAAUGGAAAAUUGGUGAUAUACUUCAAGACUGGUUUCUAAAUAUAUAUUAUAAAUUUUGAUUUUGAUUCCAUGAUUUUGAUGAAAAAUAUGCAUUAAGUUUGAUAUAUUAAUAUUAAUGGCAAAAAAAUCAUAUUUAAAACAUAAUUUAGAAAACGAGAUUUACUUAGGAAAAUACUUAAAAUUUUUAUAUAUGCUUUGAUGACGGAUUUUUAGUAAAACUUUCUAAAAUUUAAUAUUAUUUUAAAUAAGAAUUAAUUAUAAACAUUUUAAAUAAAUAAGCUUAAAUUCACUUUAAGGUAAGCUUUUAAUUUAUAUAUAUAAGGGAUGGUUUGGUAAUACUUUUGAAAAGUGAUUUUCAAAAGUAUUGUAAAAAAAUAUUUUCGGAAAGUUUAGUUUAAAAUUUGAGUGUUUAACAUUGCUAUCAAAAAAUAUUUUUGAGAAAUAAAAUGUCUAUUUUAGACAUGUUAUUAUUAAAGAAUAAAUAUGUAUUUAAAUAAUAUUUAAAUUAGUUAAUAUUAUUAUAUUUUAGUAAGAAUAUAAAAAAAUUAUUAUAAUUUGUUAAUUUUUUAAUAUAUGAAAUAUAAAUUUUAAAUAUUUUUAAAUAAUAAAUAUUAAUUAUUUAUAAAAUUUAAAGAGAAUAUAUAAACUAUAUUUUAAAUAUUUAAAUAUAAUCAUUAAAUAUUUAUAAUUAAUAUUUUAAAAAAUAUUUUUUAAUUAAUAAUUUUAAUAAAUUUGUACUAAAAGAAAAAUACUAUGUUAUUAUAGUGGUGAAAAAUUAGUAAGUAAAAGUCUUUUCGGAUAGUAAAAAGUUAAAAAUUUUAACUUUUACUUUUUAGAAAAGCCAAAUAUUAUUAAGCAUUUCAGAACAGUAGCUAAGCCUAAGUAUCAGCCUUUCGCUAUCUCAGUACUAUUUUCUAACACUUUUGCAUUUGCUUCUUUCUUUUUCACACCAGAUCUGGGGAUCCAAGCUAUGGCUGAAAAGGUUCCUAAAAUCUCAUCCUUUUUCUCUUCAACAUUUAAAUCCGAUGCCCAUUUCUUUUUCUUUUUUUAAUUUCUUUUAUUGUUUUUCAUGCUCCUCUGUUUCCAAUUCCUCUUUGUCUCUGUUAACCAGAUUCGUUAGCUAAUGCUAAUAAUUCAUGUAAAGUUUUUCUUUUGUAGGUGACGAUAAUGGUGCUGAAGGUCGACCUUCAGUGCAGGAAAUGUUACAAGAAGGUCAAGAAAGUGCUCUGUAAAUUCCCUCGUGAGUUUUCUAUUUUUGACUUUUUUUUUCAUGGAUUUCUGCAUAUUAUUUGUAACAUUUUUAAUUAUUUGUUCAUUGAGUUUAACGUUGAGAAAUGGUGUCUGAGUUUAUUUUUCUUUUUUCUUUUUUUGUGAACAAGAGAAAUACGAGACCAGAUAUACGAUGAAAAGACUAAUACGGUGACCAUCAAGGUGGUAUGCUGUAGCCCGGAGAAGAUCAGGGACAAGUUAUGUUACAAAGGUGGUGGAUCCAUCAAGAGCAUUGAGCUCAAGUCGCCGGCGAAGCCCAAGGAACCGGAGAAGAAACCCGACAAACCUAAAGAAGCCGAGAAGUCGAAAGAAGCUGGGAAGAAACCGCCAAAGCCCAAAGACGGUGGUGAGACGAAACCGGAUAUACCUAGAGAGGUGGCGUCGCAGCAGAAGGUUGCGGCAC